rnacentral:rRNA from 1 species
GACGAACGCUGGCGGCGUGCCUAAUACAUGCAAGUAGAACGCUGAAGGAGGAGCUUGCUUCUCUGGAUGAGUUGCGAACGGGUGAGUAACGCGUAGGUAACCUGCCUGGUAGCGGGGGAUAACUAUUGGAAACGAUAGCUAAUACCGCAUAAGAGUAGAUGUUGCAUGACAUUUGCUUAAAAGGUGCAAUUGCAUCACUACUAGAUGGACCUGCGUUGUAUUAGCUAGUUGGUGAGGUAACGGCUCACCAAGGCAACGAUACAUAGCCGGCCUGAGAGGGUGAUCGGCCAAACUGGGACUGAAACACGGCCCAGACUCCUACGGGAGGCAGCAGUGGGGAAUCUUCGGCAAUGGACGGAAGUCUGACCGAGCAACGCCGCGUGAGUGAAGAAGGUUUUCGGAUCGUAAAGCUCUGUUGUGAGGGAAGAACGAGUGUGGGAGUGGAAAGUUCACGCUGUGACGGUAUCUUACCAGAAAGGGACGGCUAACUACGUG